rnacentral:pre_miRNA from 1 species
CACGAGGGUGGGCCACAUGGGCGUGAAGGUGGCCAAGUCCAUGGGCCACCACGUGACGGUGAUCAGCUCGUCCAACAAGAAGCGGGCCGAGGCCGUGGACGACCUGGGCGCCGACGAGUACCUCGU